GAUGAAGAACGUAGCGAAAUGCGAUAAGUAAUGUGAAUUGCAGAAUUCAGUGAAUCAUCGAAUCUUUGAACGCACAUUGCGCCCGCCAGUAUUCUGGCGGGCAUGCCUGUUCGAGCGUCAUUUCAACCAUCAAGCCCCCGGCUUGUGUUGGGGACCUGCGGCUGCCGCAGGCCCUGAAAACCAGUGGCGGGCUCGCUGUCACACCGAGCGUAGUAGAUUUUCAUCUCGCUCAGGGCGUGCUGCGGGUUCCGGCCGUAAAAAGCCUUAUUUACCCAAGGUUGACCUCGGAUCAGGUAGGAAGACCCGCUGAACUUAAGCAUAUCAAUAAGCCGGAGGA
rnacentral:misc_RNA from 1 species